rnacentral:rRNA from 1 species
CUACGGGUGGCUGCAGUGGGGAAUUUUGCGCAAUGGGGGAAACCCUGACGCAGCAAUACCGCGUGAGUGAAGAAGGCCUUUGGGUCGUAAAGCUCUUUUCUUGGGGAAGAUAGUGACGGUACCCAAGGAAUAAGCACCGGCUAACUCCGUGCCAGCAGCCGCGGUAAUACGGCGGGUGCAAGCGUUGUUCGGAUUUACUGGGCGUAAAGGGCACGUAGGCGGCACAGCAAGUUAGGGGUGAAAUCCCGGGGCUCAACUCCGGAACUGCUCUUAAAACUGCUGAGCUAGAGAUAGUCAGAGGCGGGUGGAAUUCCAGGUGUAGAGGUGAAAUUCGUAGAUAUCUGGAGGAACACCGGUGGCGAAGGCGGCCCGCUGGGGCUAUUCUGACGCUAAGGUGCGAAAGCGUGGGGAGCAAACGGGAUUAGAUACCCUUGUAGUC